CAGCAGCCGCGGGAAUACGUAGGUCCCGAGCGUUGUCCGGAUUUAUUGGGCGUAAAGCGAGCGCAGGCGGUUAGAUAAGUCUGAAGUUAAAGGCUGUGGCUUAACCAUAGUACGCUUUGGAAACUGUUUAACUUGUGUGCAAGAGGGGAGAGUGGAAUUCCAUGUGUAGCGGUGAAAUGCGUAGAUAUAUGGAGGAACACCAGUGGCGAAGGCGACUCUCUGGUCUGUAACUGACGCUGAGGAGCGAAAGCGUGGGGAGCGAACAGGAUUAGAUACCCGGGUAGUCCCUGUCUCUUAUACA
rnacentral:rRNA from 1 species